AUUGAACGCUGGCGGUAGGCCUAACACAUGCAAGUCGAACGGCAGCACAGUAAUUGCUUGCUCUUACGGGUGGCGAGUGGCGGGUGGUUCAUGGAUACAUCCGUGUCUGCUUUUUCUUGGGUGAUAACGUGGGCAAACUUACCCUAUUACCGCAUACGACGUACGUGUGAAAUCAUGGGAUCUUCGGAUCUCGCAUGAGUGUAUGAGCCGUUGUCGGGUUAGCUAGUUGGCGGGGUAAAAGGCCACCAAGGCGACACUCCGCUGCUGGUCUGAGCGGAUGGUCAGCCAAACUGGAACUGAGGAACGGUCCAGACUCCUAAGGGAGGCAGCAGUGGGGAAUAUUGGACAAUGGGCGGAAGCCUGAUCCAGCCAUAGCGGGUGGGUGAAGAAGGGUUUCGGGUUGUAAAGGCAUUUUGUUGGGAAAGAAAAGCAAGAGGUUAAUACCCCGCUGUUUUGACGGUAACCAACGAAUAAGCAACGGCUAAAUUCGUG
rnacentral:rRNA from 1 species